GGGGUUGUGGCUCAGUGGCAGAGUAUUUGCUUAGCAUGCAUGAGGCACUGGGUUCAAUCCCCAGCACCACUU
rnacentral:tRNA from 1 species